UAAAAUGCACAUGGAAUGGUAAAGCAAAAGACUGCUGUUCUUUGUUCCAACCCGUUAUAACUAAUAAAGGACAAUGUUAUGAGUUUAACAGCUUUCCUGGCCAAUUAAAAUAUUUUGAAUUCAGUCAACCUCCUGGAACUGAAGAUACUUUUGAUGAACGGGCAUUAUUCUGGGAUAUAAACACAGGGUAUCCAAACAGAGAAGGGAAUCAGUGGAAGUCAGUUUUUCCAUAUUGGUCAGAAUAUGCUGGAGAAGAUACUGGCCUUGUCAUUGAUCUAGCAGACAAUAGACCUGAGUGGCAACAAUUGUGUUCUGGAGGCCAGAGUGGUUAUGAACUCAAAAUAUACUCCCCUACAGAGAAUUUAGAGUUCACCAAUGGUAUUAGAAUAGCCAAUAAGAUGCAUUCUCAUAUUU